GUCCUCUCUCCUGUUAGAAAGCAGGUGUGUCUUCCCCACGUCAGUCAGCUCUUUAUAAGCCAGAAUUACUGUUCCUUUGUGACACAGCUUUUGUUUCUUCCGGCUUUCCCAGGGCCAAGUUUGCAGUUCCUAUGUUGAGGAGGCUCCUUUUCCUGCUGUUAUUUCACCCGUGACGCUUAGGACCUGAAGGUGCAUCUCCUAUUUACCCGUUCCCCCUGGAUUUCUUAGUGUUUCUUUCUCUUGCAGUUGGACUCUAAUUCAUCUGGAAUGACUCUGAGGAAUGGUAUCAGAUGUGAGUGGAACUUGACUUUUCCCAAGCGGCCGAUAUUAUUUCCAUUAUAGUUAUGGAUUGGAAUUCCCUCCCCAAUCGAUUCGGGACGCUCUUUUUACACAUGAGAAGGUUUCACAUCUUCAUGUUUUCGCUCUCUGGGCCAUUCUGGGGGAAUUCCUUCGUUUGUCUCUUCUUGAACCAACAUACUGAGACUUUAGCUCUUCAUGUCUGAUACAGCAAGUUCUCUGUUAUCAUCCCCCCCCCCCUUUUUAAGCCUUAGUUAUUGUGAACAAUUUGUUCAGGCAGACAAAAUUCAGAAUUUGGACACACUUUUCCCAGAUCAUAUGCAAUUCUGCUUGGUACUGAUUUGCUCAGUGUCCCCACACAAGUUUGUGGUGUAUCUCGAGUUUUCUUCAUAUAGCUCCUGCCUGAAUUGUUAGAAAUAUUAUUUCUAAUAAAUUUAUUGUAAGUACUGCAAAGCAUCCCCCUCACCAGGCCUGCAGAGACCACUGUUGAUUAUGGUUGGUAUAACAGAAAGCAGGGGAUUCUGUUUGCUACUUUUUGUAUAUAUUGCUACUUGCGA
rnacentral:lncRNA from 1 species